rnacentral:rRNA from 1 species
UACGUAGGGUGCGAGCGUUGUCCGGAAUUACUGGGCGUAAAGAGCUCGUAGGUGGUUUGUCGCGUUGUUCGUGAAAACCUGAGGCUUAACCUUGGGCGUGCGGGCGAUACGGGCAGACUGGAGUACUGCAGGGGAGACUGGAAUUCCUGGUGUAGCGGUGGAAUGCGCAGAUAUCAGGAGGAACACCGGUGGCGAAGGCGGAUCUCUGGGCCGUAACUGACGCUGAGGAGCGAAAGCAUGGGGAGCGAACAGG